UCAACCACGACAUCACUAGGUUAUUUUCUGUUUCCUAGAUCUUGAAUUUGGGAUCUUCCUUUGUUGGUUGAAUAGAUGCACCGGUGAGGUAGUCAUCUUUUCCUUGUCCACAUAUGAAUAUCAUCACCGACUGGGACCAUUGAAGGAAAUUAUGCCCAUUCAAUUUGUGUCCAGUGAUUGGGAAAAGAGAGCCUUUUGAUCCUCCAUUAUGGCUUGCAAUUGCAGCUUCUGGAUUGAAGGUGAUCUCGGUAGAAUUAGAAUGUUGUCUCUCAGUUGCCAUGCCGUAUUUGGUCAUGAGUGGAAUUCAGAUAUUCAGAGUAGUGGCUCUGAUACCAUGUGAAAUGCUAAGAGAGAAUUUUUGUUAUUCUUAUUCACUGAAUGAAGUAAAACAUACUGUUAAAUACAUACAGGCAGCCAAUUAAGACUCCCAUUAAUUUUGGUACAUACCAAAUUAUUCAUCUACUAAGCGAGGAAAAACUAAUUAGAGAGAAAUUAG
rnacentral:lncRNA from 1 species